rnacentral:rRNA from 1 species
CCUGGGGAGUACGGUCGCAAGAUUAAAACUCAAAGGAAUUGACGGGGACCCGCACAAGCGGUGGAUGAUGUGGAUUAAUUCGAUGCAACGCGAAAAACCUUACCUACCCUUGACAUGUCACUAACGAAGUAGAGAUACAUUAGGUGCCCGUAAGGGAAAGUGAACACAGGUGCUGCAUGGCUGUCGUCAGCUCGUGUCGUGAGAUGUUGGGUUAAGUCCCGCAACGAGCGCAACCCUUGUCUUUAGUUGCUACGAAAGAGCACUCUAAAGAGACUGCCGGUGACAAACCGGAGGAAGGUGGGGAUGACGUCAAGUCCUCAUGGCCCUUAUGGGUAGGGCUUCACACGUCAUACAAUGGUGCGUACAGAGGGUUGCCAACCCGCGAGGGGGAGCUAAUCUCUUAAAACGCAUCGUAGUCCGGAUCGUAGUCUGCAACUCGACUACGUGAAGCUGGAAUCGCUAGUAAUCGCGGAUCAGCAUGUCGCGGUGAAUACGUUCCCGGGUCUUGUACACACCGCCCGUCACACCAUGGGAGUGGGUUUUGCCAGAAGCAGUUAGCCUAACCGCAAGGGGGGCGAUUGCCACGGCAGGGUUCAUGACUGGGGUGAAGUCGUAACAAGGUAGCCGUAUCGGAAGGUGCGGCUGGAUCACCUCCUUUCUA